UGCUGAGGAGGCGCUUCCUCUUCCCGCUUCUCUCCUUUUUCUCUCCUUUUUCUUUCCUUUUUCUCUCCUUUUUCUUUCUUUUUUCAUCCUUUCCCCCCGUCCUUUCCUUCCCUUUCCGCAUUAUUUCGGCUCCUCCGGCGCUUUACCUUCGCUGAGGUGGCGCCAGCCGCAGACGCGUCCCUUCCGCCUCACCAGAUUUGCUAAUGGAGGCGAGUUCAAAACACAGGUCGCGGUCACAAAAGGCCUGAAGGGCGCGGGAGGCGGCUCCCUCUAAAGCUACUUAGUUUUGUUUGUGAAAUAUCCACCAGCCUGUUCGUGAGAAAAGCGCCUUGAGUCAGCCACCGCAGGGAAACUGUGCUGUAUGAAAAAAAAAAACAAAUCCGUAGAAAGCUUGGCAGAUACCGAGGUGAUUUAGCUGCCUUCACAACAGCAGUAAGUCACUCUCCUAAACCACAGAAAUGUGUGGAAAGAGGACAUGAGGAAAUCGUAAUAUAUGACCUUCUGAAACUUCACCUGGGAAAAGUAAAGGGAGCAGAGAGUGCAGUAACAUUACUCAGACUUUUGAAAAGUGAAAUACAAACAUGUCUUGGCAGUGCUGAAUCUCAAGCUACCAGAGUGCAGAGGAUGCUGAAGAUUGUCCUCCCCACUGUGCCACUGGUGUCACCACACUGCUGGGGGCUGUGGGCUGUCACCCCUCCUCUGGGAUGGAUUUCAAACACAGGGUAAAGGCUUUCUGUUGUCACUCUCAUGGCAGUCAUUUGUCUUGGUUUUGUUCCUUGGAGCAAAGAACUGGAGCUGCUGUGUAUCAGAAGUAUGCAUCCAUUAUCUGAAAAACAGAUUUUCAAUGCAAAUUUCGUCGAAAAUGAAUGAAUCUCACAGUUUUCCCCUCUUUUUUUCCCCCGUAAUUCGUUAGAAAUCAUGAGCACAGAAGGAUGUGUAUAUCCCAGCUCAGUUUGGAAGUGCCAUCCGCUCAGACACGACAGUAGGUUUGGGAACAUUGUCAGCACUAAUUGCCUUGUAAAUCCAGGCGCUCAUUGCAAGAACUGCAGCUUUCCCAGUGACAAACAUACUGCCAGGAGAUUUGGAACAAUUAAGCAGUGAUUGUUCUCACAGAAUGGGAGAAACAAGCCUCUGGGUUGUAGUUUGGAUGCUGAAAGGACCAGGGCACUUUCCCACAAAGCAGUAUGGAAAGCUCUGGACCCGCCGUGGCUCCAGCUCCCAAAUGUGCUUUCUGCAGAGUGCGCUCCCAUUCCUGGGCGAGAGCGAGCCCGGGGGAAAAUCGCUGCUCUGACAGGACAGAACCAGCGCGGUCCAUGGGCUGUGUCAGGCCAGUCUGACAAAGUUGCUGCCGAUGCUUUUGUGCAGCUUCUGAACCUCCCGUUGCUGUCUCCCCGCAGAAAUGCUGCGUGUCUAAAGCGCAACAGGUCCCCAAUCAGGGAGAGCAGUAUCAGUUUCCAUGUGAUAACUUUGCUACUAUUAAGAAAUUCUUUUCAGGAGCCUCCUUUAUUUCGCGAUCCCCGAGAUGAAUAAAGAAGUUAUUCCCUAAUUUCUUGAGUGUGCAGUCAAGAAAUAGCCGUAUGCUGCGGUCCUGUGUGAGCGGGAAUUUUUGGAAUGCAGAGCCGGGCUGCUGUUCCUGGGUGUGCUGGUGAGAUCGGGGUCUUGGCAGCAGCGUGGAAACCAGCACCAGUGGUGAGGUAUUACCGAGGGAUGUCCGAGUGCUGGGGAAAAGCAAGUGGCAAUUUGCUCCUUGGUUCAGCUAAUGCAGACAAUGUUAAGGCGGUAUGAUGAGCGAACUGAUGGCUGUGUGUGUGUAAGACUGAAGGGUGGCACUGCGAUAGCGUCUUGUGAGAUGUUUGCUCAUCAAAGGAUGUAAUUGUGCUCAGAGACUGAAAGACAGCAGGUUUGGCUGGUUGUGUGCAGUACUUGAAGGACUGAGUGCAUUGUGUGUGUUAUCUACUCGAUGUGCUUUUCUCCAGCUCUGUCUCUGUCCUCACACUGCCUUUUGUUUCAGCCUUUGCUGUGUGACUCAUCUUUAGAAUACGCGUUUGCUACAAUUAUCUGCUGGGUUUCGCAAUGAAUCCCACUCCUUCCUUUUGCCGCUCUUUUCAGGCUUGCUAUAAAUUCACGAGGAUUUUUUUUUUUUCAUUUUUCUAACAGAAGGUACUGGUUACCAGCGUUAAAGAACCACGCCUAAACUAUGUGCUAAAUCAUUUAUUUUCUGAACAAAUUAAAGUCUGUAGGGAAAAGCACUGCUGUAAGCACCAGAAAAGGGAGAACACUGUGAGAGAUGUUAAUACCAAGCAAUAAUGAAGAAAAAUGCCACUGUUUUAAAUGCAGUGGUAAGUGACCCUUACAACUAUGAUAAAUUCCAAACCCAAAUCUGCUCACAUUUUCAAAGGUUUCAGAAGAAUACUGUGGAUUAAAAACUGUUAUUGAUUGCUUUACAUUUCUCUUUUGUACUUAAAAGCAGGAGUAGCUGUCACUCACACAGAACCACUGCUAUCUGAAAGAAUUAACUGCUUAGAUUAAAUUUAUUUAAAGUAUCUCUACAGCUUUUUAAAAUGCCUGUGUCUACGUGCAUAUGUUAAAUUGAGUAAACAGUUUCUCUUUCCCAGCUGAAUUUCAUUUGUUCUCAGUUUUGCCUUUAUCUCCUCUUAAAAACGAGGACACCCAGCACAGGAUGGUCACAACAUAGACAAAGGCGUUUAUAAACCCCAGACAUAAGGUGUCUGGGUGAAAAGGCAAUUUCAGUCCUGCAUUUGGAAGUUCUGG